CUGCUGGUUCUCCUGAGCUCUGCCUCGUGCUCCAUCCUCCUUAGUAUGCAGCCAGUCACGGCACAACCAGUGACCAUGUGGAUGUUGGAGAGAGAGCUGGGGGUUAGCUCGUGUGCUGACUCAGUCUGAUGCUGCUAACUGAGCAGACAGCAGUAUAAUGACACCUACUGUUGGAAUACAAGCACUACUGUGCAGCAUGUUUAAAAUACCACCAAAAGCCAGAUGUGUGAAGCCUCAAAUAUUGAUACUGCAAGUUCAGCUUCAAAGACAAGUCAACCUUGGAUGGCACCACAAAGGAUCAGAAGAGUAGGGAAGAGAAUACCAGCAGAGACAGCUUUGAAAAUACCUUAUAUAGAUACAGCACCUUCUGAUGCACUGAAUGCAAGAGGACUGAAUCACAGGAUCUAUCCACUGUGAAGCAAAGAAAACUGAGUGCAUAGAGAAUGUCCUCCCAGUUCCUGCACUACACCUGAUCUGGCAGAUGAUGGAUGGGAUCUGCAUCUGUGGCUUGUUGACUCUGAUGAAGCACCAUGGCUUUGGGAACAGUUUGAGAUGAAUCAUCAAGGUCAAAUCAAACUCCAAGUGAUUUAUAACAUGGAAGAAUUAAGUUCGAUUCCUUCUAUAUCACAGGAACAUUAUGAGGAAUAUGAGAUUAUGCUAUUUUUGGAAACAAGUUUCUUGUGACUGAAAGAGGGCUACUCUUCGUGCUAUCCUCUCUGAUUCCUAGCAGAGAUGAGGAAGCCAAAGUAGUUAAUUAAGAGCUAUUCUUCUAACUGGAAAAGCCAAGAACUCCCCUCUAUGUUGGCACAUCGGAUUACCCUUUGAGCUUAUCACCUUCUCAGGAAGAGGUAGAAAAGGUAUAACAGGCUCAACUCUCUAACUGUGGUGUUAAUGAUUGGCUUGAGGCAUGGGAAGAGUGCUCUUUAAGUCAUAAAAGUUCCAAUCACACCCAGGUCUUCCUGAUCCAUGAAGAUAAGCUUUAAUGUGCCCACCCACUCCAUCCCAUAACAGGUUUUUCAAAACUUUCCACUCAAUUGUGCUUUACAGCACAUCCACCAAAGACUGAACAAGACAAAAUGUAUUCUUUGGUUCAUCAUGGAUGUCACCCUUCACAGCAGAAAGGUGUGGUCAGCAUUUGGCCCCAGGGCAAGAUGUUGCCUAUUUCUGUCACUGAGUCCACCAAGCAGUAUGUCUCUUCUCUGGAUUCACCCAUGUGUAUACGUGUGUCCAGGAAUCAGCUAUACUAUCCUGCUGUCCCUUGUCUCUCAUGCCUAUCCCACUCUCAGUUUUCAGGUUGGCCCCAUCUUCAGGCCCAACCUAUGCAGCAUACUUGACUCCAGUAAGAAACUGGUCUCUUGGGAUGAAACUACCUUUGGACUUUUACUUGCUUCCUGACCCUCAAGUGGCACAUGCAUCCCCAUCUUGUAUCCUGUUUUCCUGCUUGUUCCUGGAGAAAUGAGUCCUUCAUCACCAGCUGAUGAGAGGUGUCCCUCAUCACCAUCAACAGGUGUCCAAACACACCAUCAGAAAGAACUAGAUAUACUAAUCUCUGCUCUGAAAUAUCUUGUUCCCUUCUCUUCCUGCUUCCUUAAAAGUCUAAAGCCGUUCCCCAAGACUGUUUCUUUGGUCAGCCUUGAGUGGAUUUAAUUUGGAUCUCAAGCUAAAACCCCUCUUUGUGAGCUUCAGCUUAUUCUUAUUGGUAUAAUUAGUCUUGUUAGUUUUGUUAGUUAAUAUUGUGUUGCUUAUUAAUCAAGAUUUGCUUACUGUGCCCUAAUAACCCUAACUAAAUCUGACUAUACUAGGGGUGUGCAAUUCGGGUUUUUGGGUGAUUCGGCUCGGACCCGAGCUGAAUCACCCCUGUUCUGUUUUGUGCCCG